rnacentral:rRNA from 1 species
UGGGGAAUAUUGGACAAUGGGCGAAAGCCUGAUCCAGCCAUGCCGCGUGUGUGAAGAAGGCCUUAUGGUUGUAAAGCACUUUAAGCGAGGAGGAGGCUACUUUAGUUAAUACCUAGAGAUAGUGGACGUUACUCGCAGAAUAAGCACCGGCUAACUCUGUGCCAGCAGCCGCGGUAAUACAGAGGGUGCAAGCGUUAAUCGGAUUUACUGGGCGUAAAGCGCGCGUAGGCGGCUAAUUAAGUCAAAUGUGAAAUCCCCGAGCUUAACUUGGGAAUGGCAUUCGAUACUGGUAGCUAGAGUGUGGGAGAGGAUGGUAGAAUUCCAGGUGUAGCGGUGAAAUGCGUAGAGAUCUGGAGGAAUACCGAUGGCGAAGGCAGCCAUCUGGCCUAACACUGACGCUGAGGUGCGAAAGCAUGGGGAGCAAACAGG